ACUUGAGUUUCUCAUUCUGAGUAUCUAAUACAGUGGCUAGAAAUCCUUCGCAUCCUUUUCUAAGAAAUUUCUGAGCAUGAAUAGCUGAGAUGAACUUCUGGUGAAAGAAAGGUUUAGUACUCUUAAAACUAAACUCUGACUGAUCUGGAAUUUGAAACAUUAUUGUCUUUUGGAAGCAGUCAACUGUAGCAUGAUAUGCUGCUAACCAAUCCAUCCCC
rnacentral:lncRNA from 1 species